AUUGAACGCUGGCGGCAUGCUUUACACAUGCAAGUCGAACGGCAGCGCGGGCUUCGGCCUGGCGGCGAGUGGUGAACGGGUGAGUAAUACAUCGGAACGUGCCCAGUAGUGGGGGAUAGCUCGGCGAAAGCCGGAUGAAUACCGCAUACGACCUGAGGGUGAAAGCGGGGGAUCUUCGGACCUCGCGCUAGUGGAGCGGCCGAUGGCAGAGUAGCUAGUUGGUGGGGUAAAGGCCUACCAAGGCGACGAUCUGUAGCUGGUCUGAGAGGACGACCAGCCACACUGGGACUGAGACACGGCCCAGACUCCUACGGGAGGCAGCAGUGGGGAAUGUUGGACAAUGGGCGAAAGCCUGAUCCAGCAAUGCCGCGUGUGUGAUGACGGCCUUCGGGUUGUAAAGCACUUUUGGCGGGAACGAAAAGGACUGUGCCAAUACCACGGUUCGAUGACGGUACCCGCAGAAUAAGCACCGGCUAACUACGUG
rnacentral:rRNA from 1 species